UACGUAGGGGGCGAGCGUUGUCCGGAUUCAUUGGGCGUAAAGCGCUUUAAGGCGGUUCGCUAAGUCGGGUGUGAAACCUCCAGGCUCAACCUGGAGACGCCACUCGAUACUGGCGUGACUAGAGUUCGGUAGGGGAUCACGGAAUUCCUAGUGUAGGAGUGAAAUCCGUAGAUAUUAGGAGGAACACCAGUGGCGAAGGCGGCUCACUGGCCCGGUACUGGACGCGUGAUGUGCGAAAGCG
rnacentral:rRNA from 1 species